rnacentral:rRNA from 1 species
GACGAACGCUGGCGGCGGGCUUAACACAUGCAAGUCGAACGGAAAGGCCCUGCUUUUGUGGGGUGCUCGAGUGGCGAACGGGUGAGUAACACGUGAGUAACCUGCCCUUGACUUUGGGAUAACUUCAGGAAACUGGGGCUAAUACCGGAUAGGAUCUCCUGCUGCAUUGUGGGGGUUGGAAAGUUUCGGCGGUUGGGGAUGGACUCGCGGCUUAUCAGCUUGUUGGUGGGGUAGUGGCUUACCAAGGCGUUGACGGGUAGCCGGCCUGAGAGGGUGACCGGCCACAUUGGGACUGAGAUACGGCCCAGACUCCUACGGGAGGCAGCAGUGGGGAAUAUUGCACAAUGGGCGCACGCCUGAUGCAGACACGCCGCGUGCGGGAUGACGGCCUUCGGGUUGUAAACCGCUUUCGCCUGUGACGCAGCGUGAGUGACGGUACUGGGUAAAGAAGCACCGGCUAACUACGUG